rnacentral:rRNA from 1 species
CCUACGUGUGGCAGCAGUAGGGAAUUUUGCGCAAUGGGCGAAAGCCUGACGCAGCAACACCGCGUGAAUGAUAAGCCCGUCGGGGUGUAAAGAUCUGUCAAUAGGGACGAAUUUUGACUGUACCUAUAAAGGAAGCACCGGCAAACUCCGUGCCAGCAGCCGAGGUAUUACGGGGGAUGCGACCGUUAGCGGGAUCUAUUGGGGUUAAAGGGUGCGCAGGGGGAAGAUCAAUACAGCGGUAAAAUGUAGAGGCUCACCCUCUUCGAGCCGUUGAAACUGGUUUUCUUGAGUGAGCGAGAAGUAUGCGGAAUGCGUGGUGUAGCGGUGAAAUGCAUAGAUAUCUCGCAGAACUCCGAUUGCGAAGGCAGCAUACCGGCGCUCAACUGACGCUCAUGCACGAAAGUGUGGGUAUCGAACAGGAUUAGAUACCCUAGUAGUC